GAGUUUGAUCCUGGCUCAGAGCGAACGCUGGCGGCGUACUUAACACAUGCAAGUCGAACGGGGAUCAUCGGUGUAGCAAUACAUCGGCGGUCCUAGUGGCGCACGGGUGAGUAACACGUGGGUAACCUGUCCUCGAGCUCGGGAUACCCUCUCGAAAGGGAGGCUAAUACCGGAUACGUUCCUCGGAUUGCGAAGUCUGGGGAGGAAAGGUGGCGAAAGCUACCGCUCAUGGAGGGGCUCGCGGCCUAUCAGCUAGUUGGUGGGGUAAUGGCUCACCAAGGCUAUGACGGGUAGCUGGUCUGAGAGGACGACCAGCCACACGGGAACUGAGACACGGUCCCGACUCCUACGGGAGGCAGCAGUGGGGAAUUUUCCGCAAUGGGCGAAAGCCUGACGGAGUGACGCCGCGUGGGGGACGAAGGCCUUCGGGUUGUAAACCCCUGUCAGAGGGAAAGAAGGGUCAUGUGGCUAAUAUCCACGUGAUCUGACGGUACCUUCAGAGGAAGCCCCGGCCAACUCUGUGCCAGCAGCCGCGGUAAGACAGAGGGGGCAAGCGUUGCUCGGAAUCACUGGGCGUAAAGGGCGCGUAGGCGGGAUGGCAAGUCAGUCGUGAAAUCUCUCGGCUCAACCGAGAAACGUCGGCUGAUACUGCCGUUCUUGAGGGAUGCAGAGGAGACUGGAAUUCCCGGUGUAGCGGUGAAAUGUGUAGAGAUCGGGAGGAACACCGGUGGCGAAGGCGGGUCUCUGGGCAUUUCCUGACGCUGAGGCGCGAAAGCGUGGGGAGCAAACGGGAUUAGAUACCCCGGUAGUCCACGCUGUAAACGAUGACGACUAGGUGUGGGGUGGUUUAGUCCAUUCCGUGCCGCAGCUAACGCAUUAAGUCGUCCGCCUGGGGAGUACGGCCGCAAGGUUGAAACUCAAAGGAAUUGACGGGGGCCCGCACAAGCGGUGGAGCAUGUGGUUCAAUUCGACGCAACGCGAAGAACCUUACCUGGGCUCGAAGCACAGUGGACCGGGGUAGAAAUAUCCCUUUUCGCAAGAACUGCUGUGGAGGUGCUGCAUGGCUGUCGUCAGCUCGUGUCGUGAGAUGUUGGGUUAAGUCCCGCAACGAGCGCAACCCUUAUCGUUAGUUGCCAGCGGGUCAAGCCGGGCACUCUAGCGAAACCGCCCCGGAUAACGGGGAGGAAGGUGGGGAUGACGUCAAGUCCUCAUGGCCUUUAUGUCCAGGGCUACACACGUGCUACAAUGGUCGGUACAAACCGUCGCAAACCUGCGAAGGGGAGCUAAUCGGAAAAAGCCGGCCUCAGUUCGGAUUGGAGUCUGCAACUCGACUCCAUGAAGCUGGAAUCGCUAGUAAUCGCGGAUCAGCACGCCGCGGUGAUACGUUCCCGGGCCUUGUACACAC
rnacentral:rRNA from 1 species